UACGUAGGUGGCAAGCGUUGUCCGGAUUUACUGGGCGUAAAGAGCGCGCAGGCGGUUGGAUAAGUCGGAUGUGAAAGCCCUCGGCUUAACCGGGGAAGUGCACCCGAAACUGAGCAGCUUGAGUACGAAAGAGGGUCGCGGAAUUCCCGGUGUAGAGGUGAAAUUCGUAGAUAUCGGGAGGAACACCGGUGGCGAAGGCGGCGACCUGGGUCGAGACUGACGCUGAGGCGCGAAAGCGUGGGGAGCAAACAGG
rnacentral:rRNA from 1 species